CAUUAACUCGACGCCGAAACAAACAGAAAGCACACAAAAUCUAAUCAGGAACUUCCAACUCUACCUUCCCGCUAAGCCCACCGCUGUCUGGCGACUUUCAACAAAAUUAUUCACUAAGCAGACGGUUAAGCGAGAUCACUUCACCAAAUUCUCUUCACUGUGCACUUGGUGGUCAAGCAUGAAGGCGUCACAGGAAGCCCUUAACCACGCUGUCACGGAGAGAGUCGCUGACCUCGUUCCCAGGUGCAAGCUGCUAUGAGUGCGGAGAGUGCGCGGGGAAGGAUGGAUGUCGGCCAGCGACCAGCCUCACGCGCAAACCUGUGACGUAAAAAGGAGAAUGACGUCGUGCUGCCGAGUGCGCAAUGGAUUGGAAGGACGUGCCGUCUGCUGCGAGGACGAGAGCGGUGAAAAUAGCAGCAGUCGCCGUCGGUUGCAUCGAAUGCGGUUCCGUGGGAGACAAGGGCUGACUGAAGCUGAUUGAGGUCACCCUCAGCAGAAACAACGGCCAGAGUGUGAAGAUGGCGUCGCGGCUCUGACAAGAGGACCGUGUGUCAGUAGUUUAGAUGACUGCUACACCUCAACUAGUGCUUAGCGAUGUUCUGUGCAUCUGACCCCGGACAUCCUCGCCCCUGUAAAGGCCGCUCUAGAUCUCAGUCCUUCUGUCUGGUGCUCUGGGGAAGAAGAAAAGAGCGAUGAUGCACAGGAUAGUGCCUGAAUCUGUGGGUCGGCUUAGCCUCAGACUGCAGGAAUGCUGGUGCUAGGUAAAACUGAGGCAACUUUUCUUCCCUGCAGCUUAUCGGGAUCAGUGCAGAUGCCGCGAGAACUGUCCAUUUCGCGACAUUUUCUACCGUAGAUUAAGCAGCGCCACCAUCAACGCGUUACAACAAGAAGGAUUCAGAGCUGCCGUUUCUGUCUGCGUGCUGACAAGUGUUCACCAUGGUUACAUUUUCGUUCAAAAACAGUAUACAGGCAGAGCGAACAGAAAACAAAAGCAGAAAGGGGCGGGGAACUCUACACCACGACCGUCUUUCUAUUCAUGGCUAAGUCGUCACCCUAGAAGCCAUGCCUUUGAAAUAUUCUCUUUAUAAACAACUCACGUUGCGUGAUAUCAAACAUCCACGUCCGCUAAGCUGAAUAAAGCAGUGUACAAAACUCGGGCUCAAAACACGCCUGCCUGGAAGCUGGCCACUCGUACAUACUUCUGCCUGUGCAAAGGACUGAUUCAACAGCCAGUCACGCCACGCCUGCUCCCACCACUACACCCUCUCCAGUCCGCCGGUCGAUUCGUCCUCAAUGGUCUGCACUCUUCGAUUUCCUCCCUCUUUCCUCCACUCCACCUACUCCUCCCACGCCUGACAAGGACGCAACCACUACAGUCGAAUGCCGGAAUUUGUGUAAUCCCACUUUCCAGUCAUUGCAAGUCUUCACCCCAGAAAUAAAUAUCAAUUAUGUUCAAAGCUUCGCUAGCUUUGGGUCUGGGAGUGAUAAGAGCCCCUCUAACCCUUUACUUGGCUGUAGAAAUCACUAGCAUUGUUCUAGAUUUUGUACGCACGUACACACGUGCAUGAUGAGAACGGAAAUCAAUACAGAUUUUGAAGCGGGGAAAAAAAUAGUACUUGUUUAAACAAAAUCCGAGAGACGUUCAAACACGCAUAAGGCAGAAUAAGAGAGAAAGAGGAAGAAAUAGUAAAAAAAAAAAAAAAAAGAGGUGUCAAGGGUGAGAGAAUGAGAGAACGAAGGAGGAUGGGGGAGGGGAGGAAAAUGAGA
rnacentral:lncRNA from 1 species